rnacentral:lncRNA from 1 species
CAGGUCUGGGAAGGUCGUUAACAUUCCGUUAAUUAGCCUCACUACACUUUUUAGGUAAUUGUAUUAUCCACAUUUUGCAGAUGAAGACGCUAAAGCAUCCAGAGGUUAAGUGACUUGUUCCAGGUCACACACAGUGAAUUGGGAAUAAAAAGGUCUCAGUCACCUACUUCUCUGCUCUAACCGUUAACCAGCACUCCUUCCCAUCAACAGCGUGGGCUCCGGAAGGGCUGCCUUGUCAGAAUACACUGAACAACAACUGGCUAUUCACGCAUAGAAAGGUGUUCCGUAAGUGUCCCAUCAAUGUACUGGCUCUAUGCUGGAAUGUGAGAUUUGAUGGGCUCAAAUACAGAGAAAUUUUGUUUCAAGGAAUCAAGCAUCUCGUGCAAAGCUUUCAAAAUGUAAGCUCCUGUUGGCUUCUUGAUCUUCUGUGGAAAUCCCAACUCGUCUGCCAGUUUUGGUUUAUGAAAAGUUGACCCUUAAGGCAUAACUAUUUUAAAAAAGAUAUGCCAAAAUGUUACAAGAUAUAGUAGAUUUCACCCAGUUUGAUAUCCCUUCUGGAAUACGCACUUAAUAAAAAUUGCAUUUUUACUAAGUAAUUGGCCA